AAGAGAUGAAUUAUAUGAUAACUAUAUAUCAGUAGGUUCUAGAAUAUUGCUUUGUAAUUUUUUGACCUAUCUGAAUGUUGGGUCCUAUUGCUAAAUGGUUAUAUUGAUUAGUAUAGAAAAUUAUUUGACAGGAUCGCGAUGUUGUCAUUAGGACAUCGUGCUUAUCAAAUCUAUUUUGACUUCAAUAAAAAUUAAAAGUACAUAAAAAAUAGCGAGUC
rnacentral:lncRNA from 1 species